UACGGGGGGAGCAAGCGUUGUUCGGAUUUACUGGGCGUAAAGGGCGCGUAGGCGGCCAGCACAAGUCAGUUGUGAAAUCUCCGGGCUUAACUCGGAAAGGUCAACUGAUACUGUGCGGCUAGAGUGCGGAAGGGGCAACUGGAAUUCUCGGUGUAGCGGUGAAAUGCGUAGAUAUCGUAAGGAAGACCAGUGGCGAAGGCGGGUCUCUGGACAGUUCCUGACGCUGAGGCACGAAGGCCAGGGGAGCAAACGGG
rnacentral:rRNA from 1 species